CCUACGGGAGGCAGCAGUGGGGAAUAUUGGGCAAUGGGCGCAAGCCUGACCCAGCAACGCCGCGUGAAGGAAGAAGGCUUUCGGGUUGUAAACUUCUUUUCUCAGGGACGAAGAAAGUGAAGGUACCUGAGGAAUAAGCGACGGAUAACUAAGUGACAGCAGCCGCGGUAAUAAGUAGGUGGCAAGCGUUAUCCGGAUUUACUGGGUGUACAGGGCGUGUAGGCGGUAAAGCAAGUCAGAUGUGAAAACCAUGGGCUCAUCCUGUGGCCUGCAUUUGAAACUGUUUUUCUUGAGUACUGGAGAGGCAGACGGAAUUCCUCGUGUAGCGGUGAAAUGCGUAGAGAUGAGGAGGAACACCAGUGGCGAAGGCGGUCUGCUGGACAGCGACUGACGCUGAGGCGCGAAAGCGUGGGGAGCAAACAGGAUUAGAUACCCCUGUAGUC
rnacentral:rRNA from 1 species